rnacentral:tRNA from 1 species
AGUUAUAAAGCUGCACAAGAACAAGCAUGUGUCUUGAAAACACAAGAAAGGAGUUAAAACCUCCUAAUAACUU